rnacentral:sRNA from 1 species
GCCAGAUGUGGUGGCGCAUGUCUGUAAUCCCAGCUGCUUGGGUGGCCGAGACAGGAGGAUCUCGAGUCAAAGUCAGCCUCAGCAAUGGUGAGGUGCUAAGCAACUCAGUGAGACCCUGUCUCUA